rnacentral:lncRNA from 1 species
AGUGCUUAAAGACGUACAGCAACCUCUGCAAGCCAAGUAAUGUUGGAAUUAUUGGGUUGGUACAACGACUUUUAGAGUGCUUCGUGAAUGGAAUGCUUAACUUUGACCCGCCAACGCAAGUAUACAUCUUGGUACAAUUUCUCAAGGAAGUCUUGCAGGAAACAGAUCCUCUUCCCGAGAUUCUCCGGAGUGUUUGCGACACCCUAGCUUCAGUUAUUGACGUCAUCGGCAUCGACCUUGACUGCAAUUUGCUACAGCUAGACACUCAAGCUCUGUGCGAAAAGAAGAUCAAGUUACAAGUGCCCGCUACUCUGAACCUGACUGAGGUAUAUCCUGCCCUUCUAUAAUAGCCAUAUCAGAAGGCAAAUCAUCGGUUCAAUGAGGCUCUUGGCCAAAAUAAGGCGCGUUAUUCUUGCUUCUGUCUCACUUGUGUUUAAGCUACGUUUCCUUCACUGGCAUAACAGCAAGAAGAGAAGAAAUACAUCAGAACGACAUAUGAGAUUGGUGUCAGGUAAAUAAUAGGGAAUGUUCGUGCUAUAAAUCAAACACAGCUUUUGAUCCUGGUGCUGUUUACAGCGUGAGGAGUUCAAAAGAACAGCCUAUUUUUAUUUAUUUUUUUUAUUUAUUUAAAAUUACUGUAGGCCUUUUUACAGGCCCAUACAGGAAGUGGUUAGAACAGGUACACUUGAG